rnacentral:rRNA from 1 species
AACGAACGCUGGCGGCAGGCCUAACACAUGCAAGUCGAACGCUCCGCAAGGGGAGUGGCAGACGGGUGAGUAACACGUGGGAAUCUUCCUGUUGGUACGGAAUAGCUCAGGGAAACUUGGGGUAAUACCGUAUAAGCCCGAGAGGGGAAAGAUUUAUCGCCGACAGAUGAGCCCGCGUCUGAUUAGCUAGUUGGUGAGGUAAUGGCUCACCAAGGCGACGAUCAGUAGCUGGUCUGAGGGGAUGACCAGCCACACUGGGACUGAGACACGGCCCAGACUCCUACGGGAGGCAGCAGUGGGGAAUAUUGGACAAUGGGCGCAAGCCUGAUCCAGCCAUGCCGCGUGAGUGACGAAGGUCUUCGGAUUGUAAAGCUCUUUUGGCGGGGACGAUAAUGACGGUACCCGCAGAAUAAGCCCCGGCUAACUUCGUGCCAGCAGCCGCCGUAACAC